rnacentral:pre_miRNA from 14 species
GCUAGCAGGGUCUCAACCAGCACAGACUGGCAUGCACCAGGUAUCUCUGGGCGAGUAUCUCUUUGAGAGUCUCACUCUCAAGCACAACUAGGCCUCUGCGCCUUCC